rnacentral:misc_RNA from 1 species
GCCAAAUUCUGAGCAUUCCCGAGUCGGCAAGUCCAGAGAUUUCCCAGAAGGAAUUUUCUAGGGUUUUGGAAUGAUUUUUUGGUUUUUCUUCCAAAAUAUUGAAUUCGAUUAAUGGGGGCGUAAAAGCUCUGAUUCUGCUAUUGCUUUUGCUGUCGUUUUGGUGUAGUAACAUGGCAGAGAGAAACACAAUACUCACCUCUGAGAAACAUUCCACUCCUUCCUCUCUGAAUCCUCCCUCCCGCAUUAUCUGUCAUGUAUGCCAUAAGCAAUUUUCACUCUAUACGUGCCCUCGAUGCAAUUCUCGUUACUGUUCACUUCAGUGCUUCAAGUCUCAUAGUCUUCGAUGUACGGAAUCAUUCAUGCGAGAAAAUGUAGUGGAGGAGCUUCAACAUAUGCAGUCUAAUGAUGAAACCAAGCAAAAAAUGCUAGAGAUAUUGAAACGACUUCAUUUGGAGGAAAAGAUGGAUCACACGGAUGAGGAGGAUGGUGGAUUCUCAUUACUUUUGCUUCACUUGGAUUAUGUCAUUUUGCUUGCAAUUAAUUUUGAUGAUUUUGGAUUAUUGUAAACGAAAUCUUUCUAUUGUUAAAUUUUGGAUGAGUAUUAUGCUUUAGGUCAACAAUCCACAAAUUGGAGGUCCGUGGGAAGACUUUUUUAUCUGCUUUCUUUGCUUUAUUAUGACCCACACCUGACUUUCAUAAUGAAUGUAAUUGAGAAUAGUAAUUCAGUAGGUUAGUUGCAUAAUUGAUUGGAAUUGAUUAUUGAAUGGAUUUGUUUGUGUUAAUAGUUGUUAGCAUUAGACAGAGAAGUCUAGGAUUUUUAGUUGGAUUUCAGAUUGAUGAUCAAAAUGCUAAUUGGCUACUAUUUAAUAGGUAAAGUACUGGAGUUUUUUAUUUGGUCUAAGAAUUAGCAGCACAAGGGGAUGGCUGCAUACCUAUUUUGUUUCUAGUGUAUGAAUUUGUGAUUUCUUCCUGUUCUCGUAUCUGUUUGCAAUAAAGAGUUCUGGUCAUUGAACCACUGAAAAAUGAAACACAAGUUACACUUGUUUAUUUGUGUAGUUGAUUUAAUGAUCGCUCUAUGUGCCAGUUUUAAAUGCAUAUUACAGUUUACGUUCACUUUAUCCUUCUUUGGUAGAAAAGAGCCAGCAAAUCGUUUGUUGAAACUAUAGCAUAUACAGAUCAUCUUAUGGACAAAUUUUCAUAUUACUAGUGCUGUCCUGCCUUUGUUGCCAUGCUUUCACUAAAUUUUCUUUUUCCUUUACAGGAAAAAAAUUAAGUUUUAUUUUAAUUAUUGCAACAUUAUGUCAUGGCAUUAUCAGCUGAGUAUGAGUUACCAAUUGUGUGAAAGUGCUCUUACUGGAUUCUGCUCUUGUUUGUUGGCAGAUUGCAUUCUGUCUGAAGAGACUGCUCAAAAGAUUUUGUCUGGAGGUUCAAUCAGUUUGGAUGAUCUAUCUGCAGAAGUGAAGAAACGGUUCCAAAGAGCUGUGGCAUCUGGAGAACUUAGCAAGUUGAUUGAGCCUUGGGAUCCAUGGUGGUUGAAACCUUCUGCCAGAUCAACCUCUCUCAGUAAGGAUGGAACUCAACUUGUACAACCUAUUGUUGAGCAGGAAGCAUCAUCAUCAAAUCAGGAUGACGAUGUGGGUGGCCAUUCUAGAGAGAUUCCCCCUGGCCCUGAAGGUCCGCUAACCCCAAUUAAGAAGCUUCUUCUUUCUACAGAACCAUCGCCAUUGUUAGCUGUUCACUUGGUUGACAUUUUGUAUAGCUAUUGCUUCACAUUGCGGCUUUACAAUGGAGAUUGGCAAUCAGAUGCCACUGGAUCAGCUAUGGUGGUGUUCGGUGUAUCCUCUGUCUUGAGUCAAGGUGGGCAGCCAGAAACAGUAAUGGAAGCUCUGUCUUACUGCUUGGAAAAAACUUGCUCUCCAGGCUACAGGCAUAUGGGCGGAUUGCAAUUUGGAUUGGGUCUGAUCACUGAUGUAAUAAGCCUACUAUCACUGGGGGGUCCUGCUAUAAUCUGUGCACUCUGUGAUCUGCAGAGGCUAAUUCGGGCUGGGGAGGGGGAGCUGAAAGCUGAGAAAUCAAGAACUUUAAGAAGGUCAGAAACCAGAAACAAGCUGAAGCUUGCUGAGAGGAAGGUUUAUUUUAUUAUGUGUUGGGUGCAUGAGCAGCCAGGGGAAGCUUGGUCUUCCUUGGCUGCCAUUGUAGAGGCAGAGAGAAUCAAAGUCAUGGAGUAUAAUAAGGAUAGAACUUCUGCAGAAGUGAAGAAUAACGCAGGGAAAAAAGGGAAAGUUUCAAUCGAAGAGAUGAGUUAAGCUAACCAUUGUUUUUAUGAUCAGCUCAGCUUAAUCCUGUGUAAAUUUAUUUAUUUAUUUAUAGACCUGGUUAGUGCCAUUUUCUGUAAACUAGAUGGAAUUAAUAAAACGUUAUGCCGUUUUGAGAGUCAGCUUCUGCUUUGAUUAAUUGGACAUUUGCAAAUUUACAUUACUGAAGGAGCAUGGCAUUUCCGUAAUUUCGAUAACAACUAAGCCCAUUUCUGGAAUCCCGCCUAAAAACUAUACGAAGCAUCUUUCACCUUCGCUCCAUCGAUAACCAUAAACCCCCCAAAAGUCCCCAUUUGGAAGAACAUUCCAGUCUUUCUUCAGAUAACAGUAAGGUAGACCGAAGAACCGUCUCUGCUAUCUGUUCCCAAUUCUAAUAAACCCUAAAAAUUUCGAUAUAAUGGUUGAUGUAGCAGAUAAAUUGGCGUAUUUUCAAGCGAUCACGGGGCUUGAAGAUCCCGAUUUGUGCACAGAGAUUCUCCAAGCGCAUGGCUGGGACCUGGAACUCGCGAUCUCCUCUUUUACAUCCACUAACAACAAUAAUGAUGCUGACAAUAACGUCCCCUCCACUACUACAGCUGCAGCGGCCGACGUCGGAAGUUCCGACAUGGAAUCAUCGAGUUCUGUCUCUCGUGAUCUCUUUGACCGCCCCGAUUCUGGUGCCGGAGUUGUGGCCGCUGCUGCCCCCGGUUUAGCCUGGAAACUUAUUACUUUACCAUUUUCUGUGAUUUCAGGCAGUCUAGGGUUAAUUUCUGGUGCUGUUGGCCUUGGUUUAUGGGCUGCUGGUGGUAUUUUGUCUUAUUCGCUCGGAAUGGUCGGGCUGGGACCAAGCGCCGGUCGGAAUGGGGAGCCUUCUGCCCGAUUAGUUUCUGUGUCGGCUGCGGCGAGAGAGGCAAUGGACUUUGUAUUGGUGUUUGAAAGGGAGUAUGGUUCUAGAAGGCCCAAUUUUGUAACUGAAGGGUUCAUGGACGCCUUGCAGAGGUCGAGGAACGCCUACAAACUGUUGUUUGUGUAUUUACAUUCUCCAGAUCAUCAGGACACGCCUCUGUUUUGCGAGAGGACUCUUUGUUCGGAGGUUUUCACUGCUUUUGUGAAUGAGAAUUUCGUGGCCUGGGGAGGGAGCAUUAGAGCUAGUGAAGGAUUUAAGAUGAGCAAUAGCUUGAAGGCUUCCAGAUAUCCGUUUUGUGCCGUGGUUAUGCCUGCGACAAACCAAAGGAUCGCUUUGCUUCAACAGGUUGAGGGUCCAAAAUCUCCUGAAGAAAUGCUCAUGAUACUACAGAGAGUGCUUGAAGAAAGUGCACCUGUCCUUGUUGCUGCAAGACUUGAAUCAGAAGAAAGAAGAAACAACAUGCAGUUGAGAGAAGAACAAGAUGCUGCUUACAGAGCAGCACUUGAAGCUGAUCAAGCCAGGGAAAGGCAAAGGAAAGAAGAGCAGGAACGUCUAGAGAGGGAAGCUGCUGAAGCAGAGAGGAAGCGCAAGGAGGAAGAAGACGCUAAAGAGAGGGCAGCUCUUGAGGCUGCAGAAAGAGAGGCUGCUUUAGCUAGAAUGCGGGAGGAGAAAGCCCUAUCACUUGGUGCUGAACCUGAAAAAGGACCUGAUGUCACUCAAGUAAAUUUCUCAGCAGUUGCUUACAUUAUGAUGUUGCAUUAUUACAGCAUAUUCUUUCCGAUUCAUCAGUAUUUUGUGGAAUGAAUAUUUUGUUCGCUUGUUAAUUAGUUAUGUGUUUAUUUUAGUCCAUGGAGCUUUCAUGUAUGAAGAUUGUAUGGUAAUACACUUUGCUAUGUAUAGCUAGACCUUCUUACUUUUGCUGUGGUCAAGAUGUGAAUCUUUCGAAACUAAUGUAUCAUUUUCAAACUCCCUUCAUUACUUAGGUUUUGGUACGUUUCCCAACUGGAGAACGAAAAGAAAGAAGGUUCCACAGUACCACCACGAUCCAGUCUCUAUAUGACUACGUUGAUUCUUUGGGUUUCUUAGAGGUUGAUACAUACAGCCUUGUCUCAAAUUUUCCGCGGGUUGUGUAUGGUUCAGAAAAACUCUCCCUCUCCUUGAAAGAAGCAGGAUUGCAUCCUCAAGCUAGCCUUUUUGUGGAGCUGAACUAGGUAAGUGUAAUACCAAGUAGUGUGAUCAAGAGCAGUCCAAAAUGGGACAUGCAAGUGGGGUACUUUGUUGUGUUUCUCUUUUCAAUUUCAGCUUUGAUUAGCAAUGAUAGCAAGACCAGAUAGCUCCCCGGUUUGCUGUUUGGAUGUUAUAUUUUCAUUCAAUGCAAAGAUUCAAUCAUAAGUAAAAUGAGCUCAGGGUGGAAAAUGCGGUAGAAAUAAUGAUAUAUUAAUUUUGCACAUAUAUCAAUUGUGAGAGAUUCUAUUAUUAGGUUACCCCUAUUAUUGAUUGUAAGAAUGGAUUGAGGCCCAUUGAUUAGUAAUUCAAGUGGUUUUAUAUUCUGAAAGUGAAAAAACUUGGUUGAAGCAUAUGAUCUUACAUUUUUAAGCUACGCAUUUACUUUGGUUGGCUAUUUCUUAAUGCUGGUAUUAUUAAUAAUUAAGUACAUGCAUAGUCUUCAUAGCAUGUCAUCUCUCAAAAGACCUACACAUCAACUGAACGAUUCAUUAUGAUACACA